rnacentral:rRNA from 1 species
GGGUGACGAGCGGCGGACGGGUGAGUAAUGUCUGGGAAACUGCCUGAUGGAGGGGGAUAACUACUGGAAACGGUAGCUAAUACCGCAUAAUGUCGCAAGACCAAAGUGGGGGACCUUCGGGCCUCAUGCCAUCAGAUGUGCCCAGAUGGGAUUAGCUAGUAGGUGGGGUAACGGCUCACCUAGGCGACGAUCCCUAGCUGGUCUGAGAGGAUGACCAGCCACACUGGAACUGAGACACGGUCCAGACUCCUACGGGAGGCAGCAGUGGGGAAUAUUGCACAAUGGGCGCAAGCCUGAUGCAGCCAUGCCGCGUGUGUGAAGAAGGCCUUCGGGUUGUAAAGCACUUUCAGCGGGGAGGAAGGCGAUGAGGUUAAUAACCUUGUCGAUUGACGUUACCCGCAGAAGAAGCACCGGCUAACUCCGUGCCAGCAGCCGCGGUAAUACGGAGGGUGCAAGCGUUAAUCGGAAUUACUGGGCGUAAAGCGCACGCAGGCGGUCUGUCAAGUCGGAUGUGAAAUCCCCGGGCUCAACCUGGGAACUGCAUUCGAAACUGGCAGGCUAGAGUCUUGUAGAGGGGGGUAGAAUUCCAGGUGUAGCGGUGAAAUGCGUAGAGAUCUGGAGGAAUACCGGUGGCGAAGGCGGCCCCCUGGACAAAGACUGACGCUCAGGUGCGAAAGCGUGGGGAGCAAACAGGAUUAGAUACCCUGGUAGUCCACGCCGUAAACGAUGUCGAUUUGGAGGUUGUGCCCUUGAGGCGUGGCUUCCGGAGCUAACGCGUUAAAUCGACCGCCUGGGGAGUACGGCCGCAAGGUUAAAACUCAAAUGAAUUGACGGGGGCCCGCACAAGCGGUGGAGCAUGUGGUUUAAUUCGAUGCAACGCGAAGAACCUUACCUGGUCUUGACAUCCACAGAACUUUGCAGAGAUGCAUUGGUGCCUUCGGGAACUGUGAGACAGGUGCUGCAUGGCUGUCGUCAGCUCGUGU